GAUGAACGCUAGCGGCAGGCCUAAUACAUGCAAGUCGAACGGAUAUAUGUUUUUCGGAAUAUAUAUUAGUGGCGCACGGGUGAGUAACACGUACAUAACUUGCCCUCAAGCGGGGGAUAGCCUUGGGAAACUGAGAGUAAUACCCCAUAGAAUUAUUGGACGGCAUCGUUUGAUAAUUAAAACUACGGUGUUUGGGGAUAGAUGUGCGUCUGAUUAGCUAGUUGGUGAGGUAACUGCUCACCAAGGCGACGAUCAGUAGGGGGCGUGAGAGCGUGGCCCCCCACACGGGUACUGAGACACGGACCCGACUCCUACGGGAGGCAGCAGUAAGGAAUAUUGGUCAAUGGAGGGAACUCUGAACCAGUCAUGCCGCGUGAAGGAUGACGGCCCUCUGGGUUGUAAACUUACUUUUGGUAGUGGGGCGGAAAAAACGGGAAGUUUAUUCCUGGACGUGACGGUACCAUCAGAAUAAGCACCGGCUAACUCCGUCGCCACGCAGCCGCGGUAAUGUAUCGUACG
rnacentral:rRNA from 1 species